rnacentral:rRNA from 1 species
UACGGGGGGGGCAAGCGUUGUUCGGAAUUACUGGGCGUAAAGGGCUUGUAGGUGGCCAACUAAGUCAAACGUGAAAUCCCUCGGCUUAACCGGGGAACUGCGUCUGAUACUGGAUGGCUUGAGUUUGGGAGAGGGAUGCGGAAUUCCAGGUGUAGCGGUGAAAUGCGUAGAUAUCUGGAGGAACACCGGUGGCGAAGGCGGCAUCCUGGACCAAUACUGACACUGAAAAGCGAAAGCCAGGGGAGCAAACGGG